CGGCUGGCAGGAGUCUGCAAUGGCUGGGGCCGGGCCACACCUAGGCGCUGAGCUCCUGAAAUAAGAUCUUGGAACUCGUCUUCAUGUGAAAGCAUCCUCUAACCUUCUUAAGGCUAAAAGACCACCUGGAAAGAGAUGCCCACUGUGCCUGCUGAGCACAUUCCCAGCCUACCUCACCUGAAUGCAGCCCGCGAGUGAACCCAGCAAGACCAGCGCAAGAGCCGAGGACAGCUCCAGAGUCGUGAGAAUCCAUACAUUACGUGACUUUCAGCUAGGAAAAUUCAGGGUGGCUGCUGAUGCAGCAGCAGAAAACAGAAAAUUGCUCAUGGGUUCAUGUCACAAUCUGUUGGGCAGCGGCUCUGCAAUGUCACGUCCAUAGCUCAGUCACCCAGGCUCCAUCCCAAGCUCUAGACCACAUGGUGCUGGGAGAAGUUGGUGACAGACCACAACCUGGCCCCUGCACACUCCACUGCCCUUGCUGGCUGCCCUGUUUGUGGCCCUAGCCUAGAGUCCCCCAGCUCUGGCUAGAAAGAUCAUUCAAAGUGACAUCUGUGAUGCAGACCUUAAUGAUGAUAGAUGGCAGCAUGCCCUGGACUUCGCCAUCAGUGAGUACAACAAGGAGAGAAUGAUGAACACUACAGUCACCCCGCAGGUGCUGCCAGGCCAACAGCAGAUGUGGGCUGGGUGAGCUACUUCUUUGAUAUGAAGAUAGACCUAACCACAUGCACUAAGUCUCAGCCAGACUUGGACAACUGUCUCUUCAGUGACCAGCCACAGUUGAAGGAG
rnacentral:lncRNA from 10 species